CCUACGGGUGGCAGCAGUGAGGAAUAUUGGUCAAUGGGCGCGAGCCUGAACCAGCCAAGUAGCGUGAAGGAUGACUGCCCUACGGGUUGUAAACUUCUUUUAUAAAGGAAUAAAGUGAGGCACGUGUGCCUUUUUGUAUGUACUUUAUGAAUAAGGAUCGGCUAACUCCGUGCCAGCAGCCGCGGUAAUACGGAGGUUCCGAGCGUUAUCCGGAUUUAUUGGGUUUAAAGGGAGCGUAGAUGGGUUGUUAAGUCAGUUGUGAAAUUUUGCGGCUCAACCGUAAAAUUGAAAUUGAUACUGGGAGUCGUGAGGAAAGUUGAGGUAGGCGGAAUGCGUGGGGUAGCGGUGAAAUG
rnacentral:rRNA from 1 species